rnacentral:rRNA from 1 species
CUCAGGAUGAACGCUGGCUGUGUGCCUAAUACAUGCAUGUCGAACGAAGCACUUGUGCUUAGUGGCGAAUGGGUGAGUAACACGUACUUAAUCUGCCCUCAAGUCUGGGACAACAGUUGGAAACGACUGCUAAUACCGGAUACGUAUUUCUACCGCAUGGUAGUUUUAUAAAAGGAGCGUUUGCUUCGCUAGAGGAUGAGAGUGCGUCAUAUUAGUUAGUUGGUAGGGUAAAGGCCUACCAAGACGAUGAUAUGUAGCGGGGUCGAGAGGCUGAACCGCCACACUGGGACUGAGAUACGGCCCAGACUCCUACGGGAGGCAGCAGUAGGGAAUAUUCCACAAUGAACGAAAGUUUUGAUGGAGCGACACAGCGUGCAGGAUGAAGGUCUUCGGAUCGUAAACUGCUGUUAUAAGAGAAGAACAAGCUUAAUGGAAAUGAUUAAAGCCCUGACGGUACCUUAUCAGAAAGCACCGGGCAAACUAUG